UACGUAGGUGGCAAGCGUUGUCCGGAUUUACUGGGCGUAAAGAGCGCGCAGGCGGUCGUUCAAGUCGCGUGUGAAAGCCCCCGGCUCAACUGGGGAGGGUCACGCGAUACUGAUCGACUCGAAGGCAGGAGAGGGAAGUGGAAUUCCCGGUGUAGUGGUGAAAUGCGUAGAUAUCGGGAGGAACACCUGUGGCGAAGGCGGCCACCUGGACAGUCACUGACACUGAGACGCGAAAGCGUGGGUAGCAAACAGG
rnacentral:rRNA from 1 species